AUGAAGAGAUACAAACAGCUGUGGCACCCAACCCCCACCCUUCAGUUCUUUCCCACUGCAGAACUUCAAAGGUCAACCUUAGAAUAUCCCCAGGUAGCUUUUUUUCUGGCUCCCCGGCCAUCUUGGCGGCUGGUUUUGGUUGGGGGCCGUCCCACAUCUAGGGCAGGAAGAUGGUGGCCACAAAGAAGAUGGAAAAAGUCGCUGGAGUCGAUCAACUCGAGGCUCCAGCUCAUUAUGAAAAGUGGAAAGUAUGUGCUGGGGUAAAAGCAGACUUUGAAGAUGAUCAGACAAGGCAAAGUGAAAUUGGUCAUCCUCACCAACAAUUGCCCAGCUUUGAGGAAAUCUGAAAUAGAGUAUUAUGCCAUGUUAGCCAAAACUGGUGUUCAUCACUACAGUAGCAAUAAUAUUGAAUUGGGCACAGCAUGUGGAAAAUACUACAGAGUAUGUACACUGGCCAUCAUUGAUCCAGGUGACUCUGAUAUCAUUAGAAGCAUGCCAGAACAGACUGGGGAAAAGUAAAUCAUGUACAUUUUUUCUUUAAUAAAACUUGCUAGAGCUUGUUU